UUAUCUACGAAAUUUCCUGAACAGAAGGGAGAUACAUUUGAGAGACAUUAUACAAGGAGAAUUGACAGACUGUGACAGUGAACGUUCCUGAGGUCUACUGUGUGCAGAAGUAGAUUGACAUCUUAAGGGUUUCUAGAUCAAGUUACCUUUGAUAAAAAUAGAGAAGGAAACAGGAGAAGGGAUAAAAUGGGCUAGGUUAUACAACUGCUUCUUAUUCUGAAAAUUCAGUCUGAAGGAACUGGACAAAAAUACAAACCAAAGUCUGACUUCCGAUUUCAACGUUGAAAACCAGUUGAUGUGGUUGGGCUUUGUGUCCCAACCCAAAUCUCACCUUGAAUUGUAAUCCCCAUAAUCCCCAUGUGUCUAGGGAUCAUGGAGGUGGUUUCCCCCAUGCCGUUCUUGUGAUAGUGAGUUCUCAUGAGAUCUGAUAGUUUUAUAAGGGGCUGUUCCCCCUUUGCUCCUCACUGUUCUAUCUCAUGCAGCUAUGUGAGAAGGUCCAAGCGUGCUUCUCUUUCACCUUCUGCCAUGAUUGUUAGUUUCCUGAGGCCUCCUGAGCCAUGUGGAACUGUGAGUCAAUCAAACUUCUUUCCUUUAUAAAUUACCCAGUCUCGGGUAUUCCUUCAUAGCAGUGUAAAAAUGGACUAAUACACCAAGUGAUCCAGACCCACCUGAAGUAGCAGUACUAUCUGAAAAACUGGCUUCUCAUGGAGAAGUAACAUUCUUGUUGCCCAUUUUCACUUUAUAUAUGCAGUUCCUCCUGCUUUGAAGAGGCUCUCCACCCACUCCCUCCUUUCCUGUCUUACUUGCCACAUACGCUCCUGUGACUGAUCUUACUCAUAUUUCUGAUCUUAGAAAAGGCUGCUGUGUUCAAUGGCCCUGCAGUGUUUGUCAUCUUCCUAUUAAAAUGAAUAGGACUGUGCUGAAUCCUAUGCUGAAUUUGAUUGUUUUUUUCCUAUUAAAACACUAAUUAUAUUGCA